CCUGGACUUCAAGAGAGCGGACUUUGGCCUCUUCAGGAACCUGCUCAGUAAGGUUCCAUGGGAUAAAGCCCCAGAGGGCAAGGGGGCCCAAGAUUGCUUGUUGAUAUUCAAGGCCCACUUGCUGCAAGCUCAGGAGCCGUGUA